rnacentral:rRNA from 1 species
UGAGGAAUAUUGCACAAUGGGCGAAAGCCUGAUGCAGCAACGCCGCGUGAGGGACGAAGGCCUUCGGGUCGUAAACCUCUUUUCUGGGGAAAGAGCAAGGACGGUACCUCAGGAAUAAGUCUCGGCUAACUACGUGCCAGCAGCCGCGGUAAAACGUAGGAGGCGAGCGUUAUCCGGAUUUACUGGGCGUAAAGCGCACGCAGGCGGCUUCGUUAGUCGGAUGUGAAAGCUCCUGGCUUAACUAGGAGAGGCCAUUCGAUACUGCGAGGCUUGAGGCAGGGAGAGGGGUGCGGAAUUCCCGGUGUAGUGGUGGAAUGCGUAGAUAUCGGGAGGAACACCUGUGGCGAAAGCGGCACCCUGGCCCUCGCCUGACGCUGAGGUGCGAAAGCGUGGGGAGUAAACAG